AUGAGAGGACUCGGAUUUCCAAUUCAUCCGUUUCUUCGAGGGUUGCUGGAGUUCUACGGCCUCCAGCUACACAACCUCAGGCCCGCCUCCAUUCUGCACAUUGCGGGCUUCGUGGCCCUCUACGAGCUGUUCUUGGGCAUUGAGGCCCAUUUCGCGUUGUGGAAGAGAUUGUUUUUCCUUGUGCCUCGUUCUCAGGAGGGGUCUAUUUAUCAAGUGGGCGGAGCCGAACUAUGGCGCAUUGCCGGGACCGGAUAUCUAUCCGGCACCCCAAAGAGGGCGUCCGAAGACUGGCCCUCGGAAUGGUUUUAUAUAGAUGAUGUCCCCCUGCCGGACCCUGUACGGAUCGGCCUCCCCGAGUUCAAUAAUGCUCCAUUGAAGAAGCGCCUGAGUUGGCGCCCACGGAACCCUCAGAGGGAAGCUGACAGGGACGUCCUGUACCUGAUGAGCCGGAUAAGGUUGUUGGCUCAUUCCGGACUAACCAUGAUCAAGGUCAUGGCCAUAUGCAUCACGCGAGGGGUGCAGCCGCUUCAAUACAGAGGCCACCCCAUGUGGGAUUUCAACGGGGAGGAUGAUGCUACCCGGUGCGGUCGCAAGGGGCCAGAUUCGGCCGCCACUUUAACGAGAAUCUUAUCCGCUUUGUAUAAGGGGGAGGAGGAAGAAUUCCUCUGUGUCAACCCGGAAGGCGGAUUCUCUAUGUACAAUCCUCCUAGUUGGGUGAGCGGACACUUUCACUUGCCUAUCCAUUUUCGAAAUUCCUGUAGUUGA
rnacentral:rRNA from 1 species